rnacentral:rRNA from 1 species
AUUGAACGCUGGCGGCAUGCUUUACACAUGCAAGUCGAACGGCAGCGCGGGCUUCGGCCUGGCGGCGAGUGGCGAACGGGUGAGUAAUACAUCGGAACGUGCCCAGUAGUGGGGGAUAGAUCGGAGAAAGCCGGAUUUAUACCGCAUAAGACCUGAGGGAGAAAGGGGGGGCUCUUCGGACCUCGCGCUAUUGGAGCGGCCGAUGGCAGAUUAGAUAGUUGGUGGGGUAAAGGCCUACCAAGGCGACGAUCUGUAGUUGGUCUGAGAGGACGAUCCGCCAAACUGGGACGGAGGCACGGCCCAGACCCCUACGGGAGGCAGCAGUGGGGGAUUUUGGACAAUGGGCGGAAGCCUGAUCCAGCCAUGCCGCGUGGAGGAUGAAGGCCUUCGGGUUGUAAACUGCUUUUGGACGGAACGAAAAGGCUCUUUCCAAUAACGAGGGGUCAUGACGGUACCCCACGAAUAAGCACCGGGCAACUACGUG